UUACGGGAGGCAGCAGCGAGGAAUAUUGCGCAAUGGGCGCAAGCCUGACGCAGUAACGCCGCGUGAGGGAAGAAGGCCUUCGGGUCGUAAACCUCUUUUCGGAGGGACGAGACAGGACGGUACCUCUGGAAUAAGUCUCGGCUAACUACGUGCCAGCAGCCGCGGUAAAACGUAGGAGGCGAGCGUUAUCCGGAUUCACUGGGCGUAAAGCGCGUGUAGGUGGCUCGUCAAGUCGAUGGUGAAAGCCCCUGGCUCAACUGGGGGAGGUCUGUCGAAACGGACGGGCUUGAGGGUCAGAGAGGAAGGUGGAAUUCCCGGUGUAGCGGUGGAAUGCGUAGAGAUCGGGAGGAACACCAGUGGCGAAGGCGGCCUUCUGGCUGACCACUGACACUGAGACGCGAAAGCGUGGGUAGCAAACGGGAUUAGAUACCCCGGU
rnacentral:rRNA from 1 species